rnacentral:tRNA from 1 species
GGGUCCGUGGCCUAGUCCGGAUUAGGGUGUCGGCCUCCGGAGCCGAUGGUCGAGGGUUCGAAUCCCUCCGGACCCGCCA